rnacentral:rRNA from 1 species
UACGAAGGGUGCAAGCGUUAAUCGGAAUUACUGGGCGUAAAGGGCGCGUAGGCGGCUUACCAAGUCAGGCGUGAAAUCCCCCGGCUUAACCUGGGAACUGCGUCUGAUACUGGGAGGCUUGAGUAUGGGAGAGGGAUGUAGAAUUCCAGGUGUAGCGGUGAAAUGCGUAGAUAUCUGGAGGAACACCAGUGGCGAAAGCGUCCUGCUGGAUCUCAACUGACGCUGAAGUACGAAAGCUAGGGGAGCGAAUGGG